rnacentral:lncRNA from 1 species
UUUAAUCUUAUGCUUAAUAUGCCACGUAAAGAUAUUACCAAAAAAAAGAAGAAAGAUAUCAUUUUUUUAAAACAGACUAAAAAGAAAAGAAAGUCAUUUUUUUCAAACGGAGAUAGUACAAAAUACGAGUGAUAUAUCUCUAGUUAAAUUGGCCAUUUGCAUGAAAAAGAGACUUCUACUUGUGUAUAGUAUACAUUAUUUCAAGAACUUUAACAUUAUUUAAGUGUAACUUGAUAUCACAAUGUCUGGGAUUUUCACAUUAUAAAUAAGGAAGUUUCUUAAGAUAAAAAUAUCUCAAGUAACACUAAGUCUUCCCAAAAAAAAAAAAUGGCUACUUCACAUUGGUUUAUGUUUUUCUUGUCAAGUGUCUUGUCUUUAUUUGCUUCUUCUACUUGUAAUUCUGUACCAUUUGUGGGUUCUAAUCAACUCAAGUUUUGGAAAGAAAAUGUUGUCAAUGAAAUGCCUCCAUCUCUUGUUUCUAAAUUAUCUCCAAUGAACAUGAUUGACUCUCAAUAUUACACUUCAUUAGUGUCCAAAAAGGCAUUUUCUUUUGAUACUCAAAGUUGUUUGCUUGCUGAUAUAUUUUGUACUUCUGAGACUAAUGCCCAAACAUCCAAAAUCACCAAUCUAGAUUCUAAGAUAUUCUACACAACCAGAACCCCUGAUCAAGCUAAAGUCUAUGCUAAACUCCCAAAUCAAGCCAAAGUUUAUCCCUCCAAAAUUCCUAAUCAAGCUAAGGUCUACACAACCAAAAUCCCUAAUCUAGAUUCUAAGAUAUUCUACGCGACCAGAACCCCUGAUCAAGCCAAGGUCUAUCCAGCUAAUCUUCCCGAACAAGCUAAGGUCUAUACAUCAAAAAUUUAUGCAACUUCACACUCUCAUAGUCAUCAUCUUGGAGAAGUCUCUUUCUUCAGAGUCUCUACCCUCAAACCUGGAAACACAGUCCAUCUAGACAACUUAGUGAACCCGUUCCCUCAUCGCUCAUUUCUUCCAUCACAAAUUGCCUCAAAGAUCUCCAUUAACUCAAACCAUCUCCAACACUUAUUCCCUCAAACUUUCACUUCACCAUACACAAAAGAUACCACAAAAACUACCAUCCUCAAUUGCAAUGCACCUACUCUAAAAGGAGAAGUUAAAACAUGCGCGAAAUCCUUGGAAGAAAUGAUAGAGUUCUCAAAGAGAAGCUUGAAACAGAACCACCUAAUUUCAUUGACAACAGAAAGCAUACAAGGGUCAGGACAGAAACUAAAAAUUGAGAAAUUUCAUAAAAUCAAUUCCCAAAGGAGUGUCUCAUGCCAUGAGAUAUUCCUUCCUUUUGCUACAUACUUUUGUCAUUUGCUAUCUUCAACUAACAUUUACGCGGUGGAGCUAGUUGAUUUAAACACUAAUGUUCAUGUUAAUAAAGCUAUGGUUGUUUGUCAUAUGGAUACUUCUUCUUGGCCAGCUGAUCAUCCAGUUUUCAAAAAAUUGAAUUUUUCACCUGGAAAUGGAGAGGUUUGUCAUUGGAUGUCACAAGCUGAUCUUGUUUGGGUUGGAGAUGAUGCGCAUGCAUAAAAUAAUUUUUUAAAAAAAGUCUACUUAUGUUAAUUAAGCUUUGAGUUUAAUUGUAAAAAUGGAUUGUCUUUUUUCUUGUUUCUAUGUGUUUAGGAAUAGUAAGGUAUUGUAAUUAUGGGGAAAAAAGUCCAAAUCCUUACUUUCCCUUUCUUGUGUGAAGUGUGAAUUGUGAUGGUUUUUGGUCUUUUUAUGUGUAUUUUAAUAACUUGCAGUUAAUACUCCUAUUCUAAGUUACUUGGACUUGAGUACGGGUGUCGAUCAAGAGAUCGGAUUCUUUAUGAUCUAGCUUUUAAGAUUCAGGAAUAUGGAUAUCGAUGUGGGUAUUCGUCUAAAAAUAAUUAAAAUAUCUAAAAAUAGAAUUAUAAAACCUAAACUAUGAGAUAUUUUAUGGAGAACUUGAGGAGAAUCCUGCGAGGAGAUUAGAGAAAAAGGAGUGACAUAGAAAUUUUUAUAUAAAGGGUAUCACAUUUUCUUCAAUUUCAUCUUAGCUUUUGUAUUGAUUAUAGAAAAUAUUGAAACUGUUUAGACUUUUGCCCCCAUCGAUUUUGGUCAAAUUACCCAAAAUUGAUUGACCAAAAUAAACACUGAUCUCACACCUACACCCAUGUUGUGUCGACACGGGUGCGGCACAAUCCAAGCAACUUAGCUCCUAUUACAUUUAAGUUAAGUUUUCUGCAAAAGCAGUACAAUAAAAAAUUAUUUGAUAUUUAUUACAUUUUGAUAUUUCGUAUUAGAGGCAGUGGUGAAUCUACAUAGAGUUGAAAGUAUUUAUCCGAACUCUUGAAUCGAAAAAUUAUACAAUGAUAUAGAAUCAAAUGUAUAUUUUAUGUCCAUAUAUUCUAUAUUGAACCCCUCAACACAAGUAAGAGGGCUUGGGCCGUUAUAGGGGUUCAAAAACUAGUUAGCACGUGAAUUCAGAUACCGUUAGCAACAUUUUUCAAUGUUUUAGCUUGAAAUUUGCUACGAACCAUUUGUCAGCAUUAUUUAACAUGUUAUUUAAACCUCUCUAUAAAAAUCCAAACUCCGCCACCCUCUUAAAGAAAAAAGAUAUUUUGAGGGACAUGACACUCAAUUUUCUCUAGUCGAUAAUCUUAGGGCCCGUUUGGAUGGGCUUAAUAAAAGCAGCUUUAAAAAAGUACUUUUGAAAGUGCUGAAACUUAUUUUUAAAAUAAGCAGUUAUGCGUUUGGAUAAAAGUGCUAAAGUUGUUAUGCCAAACGUGAAAAGGGAAAAAUAGAAGAAAGAGAUGUUAGGGUUAUAUGGGUAAUUUGGAGAUUGUAUAAAAAUAUUAAAGGAAAAAACAUUAAAAUAUGGUCAACUUAAAACAGCUUAUAAGCUAAAAAAAAAAGCACCACUACCCCAGCUUUUAACUUUUGGCUUAAAAUAAGUUUUUUUUAACUUAAAAAUAAGCUAUUUUGAGUAUAGUAUGGCCAAAUAGUUAAAUAAGUCAAAAACCAGCUUUUAAGUCAGUUUGACCAGCUUUUAAGCUGAGCCAAACAGGCUCUUAGGGCCCGUUUGGAUGGGCUUAAUAAAAGCAGCUUUAAAAAAGUACUUUUAAAAGUGCUGAAACUUAUUUUUAAAAUAAGCAGUUAUGCGUUUGGAUAAAAGUGCUGAAGUUGUUAUGCCAAACGUGAAAAGGGAAAAAUAGAAGAAAGAGAUGUUAGGGUUAUAUGGGUAAUUUGGAGAUUGUAUAAAAAUAUUAAGCGAAAAAACAUAAAAAUAUGGUCAACUUAAAACAGCUUAUAAGCUAAAAAAAAGAAAGCACCCCUACCCCUACCCCAGCUUUUAACUUUUGGCUUAAAAUAAGUUUUUUUAACUUAAAAUAAGCUAUUUUGAGUAUUGCCAAACAGUUAAAUAAAUCAAAAACCAGCUUUUAAGUCAGUUUGACCAGCUUUUAAGCUGAGCCAAACAAGCUCUUAUAACCUCAUAUAAAAAUGCCUAAAUAAGCUAAACUUCACACGUAUGAAGUUAUUUUAAAGUGUUUAAAGUGCAAGAAAUUGAUAUUUUGGCUAUAUUUUAAAUACUCGCCCGGAUAUGGAUAUCCUAUUAUGGGCCGGAUAAGGGUGUAUCUGACCCAUGAGAAAUUCGGGUCAAAACUUCUGAUAGCACCAAAAUAUCUGAAGCAGGGAGAAGAAGCACAAAAUUGACUUACAGCUAUGGGGCUCUCAGCUUCUAAGAGAGUUAGCAAUUCACUCCAAAAUUCAUCCGAAUUCAACUCGGCAUGUGAUUCAGUCUAUGAUGAUUGUCUCUCCCUAUCACAGCACGCUUUCGCCGGAGUGAAACCCUACCAGCUUUUCUCC